ACCAUGUAGCGGUGUAGCUAACUACUGGAAAUACACUACUGUUUUACCAUGUAGCGGUGUAGUAGACAAGAAUGUCCUUUCUUUUCCUCAUCAGACCUGAUUCUCACUUGCUGUGUUUAAUAGCAUAAUUACACAUUCUGUUAGCAUAUGACGACAGCGGGGUCUGGUCUUCCAGUUUGAAGUCUGACAUUUCAUAUUUAGAUAUGAUAUUUUUUAGUCGUAGUUUGGAAGUAGUGAGCUAUUUUUCUCAGAAACUUUAGUUCAUUAAACUAUGUUUUUCUUAAGCUUUAGUGUAGCUGUUACCAGUGUUCAGUAAUUGGUAGCUUGGUGAACUAUAUUUUCCCCAAAACUGGUUAGCACACACAUAGUCACACAGUCACACACACAAACGCGUGCACACACACACACACAGGAAGGAAGGAAAGUCGGGGAAAGUCGGGGUUACUAUAACCAUGGUAACUAGUGUUGUGUUGUGACAGAUGCAUCAUGGGACUGUGAGUCAUCCAGGGGUCAGGAGACGUCUCUGGACCGCAACCAGCCCUGCGCCGUCAAGAGGUCAGGAUCGUAUGAGGGCCCACAUCCACCUUCAUCAUCCCCAUCAUCACCUCAACCGCCCUCCCCCAGCAGGUGUGUGAGUGGUAAGCGUCAGUGUUCAGGUUGCAAUCAGGCGCUGGGGAAAGGAACAGCUAUGAACAUCGACACGCUGGGCCUGUACUUCCACCUAACCUGCUUUAAGUGUGGAGUGUGUAAGGUACAGCUAGGUGACACCAGUUCAGGAACAGACGUUAGGAUCCGUAACGGGCUGCUGAGCUGUCACGACUGCUAUGCCACAUCACACGCAGUUGGCCAGCCGACUACGCUGUGAUUGGCUACAGCCUGCAUCUGGAACCCUUCACAACAUUCUGGAACGCUGUGGAAUUCUCUUAACUGGACACACAAACUUCUCCCAGAUGAUGUCAUGGAGACUGAACUGCCUGAUGCUAACUGAUGCUAAUGGAGGCUAACUGCUAAGUGCUAGCGUUGUAGCUGAUCAACCAGUUUUUCCCAGACUGACUUGAGUACAGAGACCUGAAGCACAACCACUGAUCUACGACAGCACACUCAGACACAUGCUACAUGCUAACACCAGCAGCAGUCAGAAUGUAGUAGCUACCUACCUUACUGUCAAAUUAGCUAAAUGAUAAAUGCUAACGGAUGCUAACUGCUAAAUGCUACUGUUCACUCACCAUCAUAAUGCCUUAAUAACUCUGUUUUGUUUUGUGUUUUAAGUAUUUUGCAUGAACGAAGACCGUGUUAGUUGUUGUUGUUGUUAACGGUAGUUAGGCUGUGUUACCUAGCGACAGCCCUGACUACUACAUAUAGUUGUUAUGGUUACCGUAUGCCUCUCCUCCAUGUUGUUGUGUAAUGAUACAAGCUUUGUCUUUAUUCUAAUGUUCACCUGAUCAUCAUGUACAUCAUUAUGCUGCGUUCAUUACUCUGAGAGCAAUAAGGAUGCAUGAUCGCUUUAGUUAUUAUUGGAUGUUAUUAUUACCAUUUAAUACCAAGGAUAUUCUGACAUUGUGUUUUAGAGCUUUGCAUCAUACUCUGCCUUAAGACGAGAGUGAGAGGGAUAGCACGCGUGUAGUGUGCGUGUGUGUGUGCAUGUGUGUGUGAGUUGUUUUAGUUCAACUUGAAGCACAGUCCUAUACCAGCGAAUAUUACUACACAUUGACCCGCCCUCUCCCUCUUUUUCUCACCUGAUUGGACCUUUACUCCUAAGAACAACCAAUGAAUGAGACAAAGUUAUCUGCUGCUUCCUGUUUAUGCCCAGCCUCUUGUCCUGUGGCAUUUUUAGGCCUAUUUCUUACACCAAUCAAAUGCUUUGGAUAGAUGUGUAGAGGAGAGGAGAA